GGCGCGGUAGCCAAGUGGUAAGGCAGCGGUCUGCAAAACCGCUAAUCGCGGGUUCGAUUCCCGCCCGCGCCU
rnacentral:tRNA from 1 species